GUUGGUCCAAUUUGCCAGCGACUGUUGGCUGCUCUCGCCGAAGCAAAAGAGAGGAGAAGGGUCUCGCUGGUGACUCGGGGCUGUUCUCGCCGGAGCAAAGGAGAUGAGGAGCUCACUUGGUCCUCGCUUGCUUCCAUCUUCGCUGGAGAAGAGAGAAAGGAGGGGAAGAAGAGGGGCUCGGGGUUUCGAGGACAGGCGGC
rnacentral:lncRNA from 1 species